GAAAUGCGAUAAGUAAUGUGAAUUGCAGAAUUCAGUGAAUCAUCGAAUCUUUGAACGCACAUUGCGCCCGCCAGUAUUCUGGCGGGCAUGCCUGUUCGAGCGUCAUUUCAACCAUCAAGCCCCCGGCUUGUGUUGGGGACCUGCGGCUGCCCGCAGGCCCUGGAAAACAGUGGCGGGCUCGCUGUCACACCGAGCGUAGUAGCAUACAUUCUCGCUCAGGGCGUGCUGCGGGUUCCGGCCGUUAAACGACCUUCAUAACCCAAGGUUGACCUCGGAUCAGGUAGGAAGACCCGCUGAACUUAAGC
rnacentral:misc_RNA from 1 species